UCGCAACUGCGCAUAUAGACUCAAGUCCCAAGAUGUCAGUGCCAUAUCGGGACACUGGCGGCUUCAGUUCUCACCAAUGGAAAAGAGCGAAGGUUAAAGGUCAGCUCCAGAUUGGUGAGGAAAUAAUCUGCGAACUCUGGAUACAUAUCCAAGACUUCUAGAAGUUCCUCUCUCUGGAUCGUGUGCAGGUCACAGUAGCUCAGCGCUCGCACAUCAGCGUUAGAUUUACCAGGCUUGGCGUACAGGUGGAUCAUCUCUCCAAAGAUGUCAUUCUUACCUGGGGAGUGAAGGAGACAGGCUCAGGUCCAUGAGUGUUGGAAAUACUCUUCCAGUCUCUGUCUGAGUGGAUUUGGGAUCUGGUGGAAACGGAUGAACUCUUUGACGCGGAGCAUCUGCAUGUGGUAGCGUGCCGUACCGGAAUACAGUCGCUGUAUGAUCGCAGAAACAUUUCCAAAAAUACUGGCGUACAUCAGAGCUGGAGAAGACAAGAGUAUUAGACGGUAACACAUGAAAGGAAUGUAUGGUAACACUUCAUUUUAAGGGUCCACAAUAAUGCACUAGUUAAGCAUGAGUCAGUAAUUAAUGCAUGACUGAAUGUAGAGUAAGGCUAUCUUAGCCAUAAUUUACAACUUCUUAAAUUUUUUAUUUUUGUGUAGAAAGAAAUGCAAUUAAUUCUCAGUUCCAUCCAUCCAUCCAUCCAUCCAUCCAUCCAUCCAUCCAUCCAUCCAUCACUUUUGCUGGGAGUAAUCACAGGAGGGAUGUAUCCAAGUGCAAGCUGAAGUUUAUUGAAGUGCAGAGGGGGGUGAACAAAGGACAGUGCAAAACUCACAUGUAAUUUAGGUGCAAAACACAAAAGAUCAAUCCAAAUGGGUAAAUCCAAACACAAGAGAUAAUCCAAAUACAGAAUGGAUAAUUCCAGAUCAAAGCAGGAACAGACAGAAGCAAACUUAUAUUGUUCGAUGCACACAAAAUAUUCAUUAACAACUGACAAUCAGACCUGAAAACAGGGCUCUUAAAUACAAGAAACACCUGGAACAGAUAAAUCAAACAGACCAAUGACAAAACAGAACUACAAUGGACUACAAACCCCAUAACUGAAUACAUAAAGGAACAAGGCAUAGAAUAAAAGGGAUGAUGACCUCUAGCGGCCGUCCAGAACAUAACACAGAUAUAGUCCAAGCUUCACCACCUUCACCAGUCAUCUGGAAUAUAUGAUGGUGCCCCCUCCCUAAGGAGCAGAUCAUAAAGCUCCUUAACACAAAACAGAGUCCCACAAAGACCGUAUUGGGGGGGGGGGGUCCAUCUUGGGAGGGGCAAAUCAGUCAGAUAGGCACAGGAGGGGGCAAAAGUCCAUGUGUGAAGAUGAGUAACAGUCCAGGGUGGAGCCAGCGGGAGAGCAGGGAACCAGGACAGAGCUGACGGACAGACAGGAUGCCAGUGUGGAUCAGGCGGACAGCCGGGAGACCAAGGAGACCUGAGCAGGUCAGGCAGAUGGCUAGGAGACCAAGACCGAUCAUGUAGAUGGGUGGGGGGGCACUGAACAGGGGUCAACAGUCUGGACGAUUGCCACUGAAAAGAAAUGAUACUGGACGUGGGUGGCUGCUGGACACUGAACAGGCUUAAUGAAUACUGAGAACUGAACAGGCUCGGGGAACUGGACUGGCUCAUCGACAGUCUUGGUGGUCAGGAGCGCUGGCAGUGACUGGGUGACAGGGCGGCAGCCUCCAUGGCCGUGGGCACUGGCAGUGACAGGGGAACGACCUAAGUGGGCUGUAAGCACAGGCAGCGACUGGGUAGUAGGAGCCCUUCUCCUCCUCCUCUUCCAGACGGCCGUGAGCACUGCUGUUGGAACGCCCUCCGUGGCCAAGGACACUGGUACUGGAAUGGACGAGGCUUCAGGUGCUGGUUCUGUCUGAUGUAUCUCAUCUCAUCCCUCUAUCCAUCCAUCCAUGUAAACACAAUCAUGCCAAUAAAGUACUUUUAAAUUGAAAUUGAAAAUAUAGAGAGAGAGAGAGAGAGAGAGAGAGAAGGUUGGCCAACUCCGUAGUCACACCGGCGGGAAAACAGUCGAAAAAUGACUUCACGAGUCCAAGUCAAGUUUCAAGUCAAUUGUUUGCGAGGUCGAGUCGCUAGUAAAUUAUUUUGCGACUUAAGAGCAACUCGAGUCCGAGUCACAGAUUUGAGUUUCAUCUCUGAUAUAUUGUGUGUAUAUAUAUAUAUAAUCACAAUGGAUCAGUGUUGGGUAAGUUACUAAAAAAUUUAAUCCACUACAAAUAACUAACUACUUCCCUAAACUUUAACGAUUACUUAAUUAAAAAAGUAAUCACAUUACUAAUGUCAUUACUUCAAAGUUACUUUCUAAAACAUAUUUUGUUUUUCUGCUGUCACAGAAACGCAAACAGAGGUACUUAUGAAUUCACAUUUUCAAUGUAUUACACAUAAAUAAUUAUUUAUUUGUAACCCAAGUAAUGUAUUUAACCCUGUAAGGGGAUUCAGAUGGGCAAGGAGGAGGCGAGAACCGGCUUGUCAGUAUAAAUAAUCUUUAAUUAAACUCAAAACAAAAAGCACAAACAUAAACACACACAUGACGGACAUGCCCGUCUCUCUCUCAAACCGCCGUCACCGGCAGCCUUUAUCCCUCGCGCGCCCUAUCAGGCCGAUUGGGGACCGGGCAUGCGACAUUCCAGCUCGGCCCCACCCCCCUCCGCUCCACAAACAGUAAUUACAUUCAUUGAAAAUCAGUAACUGUAAUCUAAUUACAAUAAUUUUAAAUGUAAUGUUUUACACAACAUUUUGUGCCUAAAAGUAAUUAGAUUACAGUAACUAAUUACUUUGUAAUCCAAUUACACCCAACACUGUACUUUAUGUGUAUAUAUACACUACAUAUAUAUAUAUAUAUAUAUAUAUUACAUAAGCUAUUUAUCUAAAUUUUAGACUAUUUAAAGGAAUCGUUCACCCAAAAUGAGAAUUUACCCUCAUUUUAUUCUAAUUUCCAUGGAGCAUAAAAGGGGAAAGUGUAAGCAUCUUUUAAUCAUCUUUUAAAGCACUGUUAUUGGAUUGAUGGACUACAUUUAUGGCUAGUUUUUAGUCCUUUUAGUAAGUCAUUGUAUGGAAAAGAGCUGUGUAUACAUUGAAAAUUACUCCUUUUGUGUUCCACAGCACAAAAUGACAGCAUUCAAAUUUGGAAUGUCAUUAGGGUGAGUAAAUAAUUACUGAAUUAUUAUUUUUUU